rnacentral:rRNA from 1 species
GAUGAACGCUGGCGGCGUGCCUAAUACAUGCAAGUCGAGCGAACAGACGAGGAGCUUGCUCCUCUGACGUUAGCGGCGGACGGGUGAGUAACACGUGGAUAACCUACCUAUAAGACUGGGAUAACUUCGGGAAACCGGAGCUAAUACCGGAUAAUAUAUUGAACCGCAUGGUUCAAUAGUGAAAGACGGUUUUGCUGUCACUUAUAGAUGGAUCCGCGCCGCAUUAGCUAGUUGGUAAGGUAACGGCUUACCAAGGCAACGAUGCGUAGCCGACCUGAGAGGGUGAUCGGCCACACUGGAACUGAGACACGGUCCAGACUCCUACGGGAGGCAGCAGUAGGGAAUCUUCCGCAAUGGGCGCAAGCCUGACGGAGCAACGCCGCGUGAGUGAUGAAGGUCUUCGGAUCGUAAAACUCUGUUAUUAGGGAAGAACAAAUGUGUAAGUAGCUAUGCACGUCUUGACGGUACCUAAUCAGAAAGCCACGGCUAACUACGUG